CACGAAGUUAGCCGGUGCUUAUUCCUCAGGUACCGUCAGUUCCGCCGGGUAUUAACCGACAGCGUUUCGUUCCUGAUAAAAGUGCUUUACAACCCGAAGGCCUUCUUCACACACGCGGUAUUGCUGGAUCAGGCUUGCGCCCAUUGUCCAAUAUUCCCCACUGCUGCCUCCCGUAGGAGUCUGGGCCGUGUCUCAGUCCCAGUGUGGCUGAUCAUCCUCUCAGACCAGCUAUCGAUCGUCGCCUUGGUGAGCCAUUACCUCACCAACAAGCUAAUCGAACAUCGGUCCGUCCAACCGCGCAAGGUCCGAAGAUCCCCUGCUUUCUCCCGUAGGACGUAUGCGGUAUUAGCGUAAGUUUCCCUACGUUAUCCCCCACGUCUGGGUAGGUCCCGAUGUAUUACUCACCCGUCCGCCACUCGCCACCCACAGAGCAAGCUCUGCUGUGCUGCCGUUCGACUUGCAUGUGUUAAGCAUACCGCCAGCGUUCAAUCUGAGCCAGG
rnacentral:rRNA from 1 species